rfam:Mastigocoleus testarum BC008 Contig-73, whole genome shotgun sequence.
AGAGUAGGCGUAGGUGGUUACAGACUAGUUGUAAUGACUGGUUUGAGGAAAGUCCGGGCUCCCGAAAGACCAGACUUGCUGGGUAACGCCCAGUGCGCGUGAGCGUGAGGAUAGUGCCACAGAAACAUACCGCCUUUCUUUCAGUUAACAGUUAACAGUCAACAGGUAACUGUAGCCCAUGAGGGCGUGGUGUCAGCCAUAAACUGUUAGCUUUGCGUGCGCGUUAGUAAGGCGUUAGCAAGCACAGGGCGCAAGCCAUAAACUGAUAACUGGUCACUGAAAAAGGUAAGGGUGCAAAGGUGAGGUAAGAGCUCACCAGCAACAUCGAGAGGUGUUGGCUCGGUAAACCCCGGUUGGGUGCAAGGUAAAGGAACCACGGUUGGUCUUUUCCCAGUUCCGCAAUUAAGAGCCGCUAGAGGUGUUUGGUAACAGACAUCCCAGAUAGAUGACCGCCCUCAAAAUUUAUGGAUAUAGUAUGCUGUGUCCGUAAAUAAGAGAACAGAACCCGGCUUAUGUUCCGACUCUCUUC